rnacentral:rRNA from 1 species
GACAGAGGUGCCGAGCGUUAGGCGGAAUCACUGGGCUUAAAGCGUGUGUAGGCGGACUCGUAAGUGCUUUGUGAAAUCCCACGGCUCACCCGUGGAACUGCUUGGCAUACUGCGAGCCUUGAGCCACUUAGGGCAACCGGAACAAACGGUGGAGCGGUGAAAUGCGUAGAUAUCGUAAGGAAGACCAGUGGCGAAGGCGGGUCUCUGGACAGUUCCUGACGCUGAGGCACGAAGGCCAGGGGGAGCAAACGGG